rnacentral:misc_RNA from 1 species
GAUGAAGAACGCAGCGAAAUGCGAUACGUAAUGUGAAUUGCAGAAUUCAGUGAAUCAUCGAGUCUUUGAACGCACAUUGCGCCCUCUGGUAUUCCGGAGGGCAUGCCUGUCCGAGCGUCAUUGCUGCCCUCAAGCACGGCUUGUGUGUUGGGCCCCGCCCCCCGAUCCCGGGGGGCGGGCCCGAAAGGCAGCGGCGGCACCGCGUCCGGUCCUCGAGCGUAUGGGGCUUUGUCACCCGCUCUGUAGGCCCGGCCGGCGCCUGCCGAUCAACCAAACUUUUUUCCAGGUUGACCUCGGAUCAGGUAGGGAUACCCGCUGAACUUAAGCAUAUCAAUAAGCGGAGGA